rnacentral:rRNA from 1 species
AACGAACGCUGGCGGCAGGCCUAACACAUGCAAGUCGAACGCUCUAGCAAUAGAGAGUGGCGCACGGGUGCGUAACGCGUGGGAAUAUGCCCUUGACUACGGAACAACAUCGGGAAACUGAUGCUAUUACCGUAUAAUGUCUUCGGACCAAAGAUUUAUCGGUCAAGGAUUAGCCCGCGUCUGAUUAGCUAGUUGGUGAGGUAAUGGCUCACCAAGGCGACGAUCAGUAGCUGGUCUGAGAGGAUGAUCAGCCACACUGGGACUGAGACACGGCCCAGACUCCUACGGGAGGCAGCAGUGAGGAAUAUUGGACAAUGGGCGCAAGCCUGAUCCAGCCAUGCCGCGUGAGUGAUGAAGGCCUUCGGGUUGUAACGCUCUUUCAGAUGCGAAGAUAAUGACGGUAACAUCAGAAGAAGCCCCGGCUAAACUUCGUGCCAGCAGCCG